GCCGUUUCGUUACGAAGACAGAUAAUGGUUUCGUUGUGAGUAUUUGUUUACAUCUAGCGUGGCAUGCAUAUGCGGUUUACAAAUUUUAAUAUAUUUUGCUUUUUUUCGGUAUGGAUCUUUGGAUAGUUACAGAGAAAUGAAUCUUAUGUGCAGCUAUUGUGACUCUACAUUUGAGAACAUAAAAGACACAGUGUGUCAUUGUGUUGAGGAUCACCCGGCAGAAAAGGUGUCCUACAUGUGGAAGUCGAUUGACGGGAGGAGUAAUCGCCAAAGGACAUACAAUGUAUUGGGGGUCUAAUGUUACCGGUAAAGAAAUCAGUUUUGAACCCCAAUCUGGGAAAAUGAUAGUACCUACCAAAUCUUCAGCCAGCGACAGCCCAGUUCGGAAACUACACAAAAUCAACACACCAUCAAAAUCAGUUCAUCGUCAAUUAUAUUCACAAUUAGAAGUCGACCAAGAACAUGUCGAAAACUUAUCUUCAACUGAGGCAACCGAUUCAGUUUCUGAUUUAUCGGAACUGUUGGACACCACAGUGUUAUAUUCGGAUUCAGAGCCCGACAUUGAGGAGUAUCCCUGAUGACGUAAUGGCGGACACACAAACUGUACAAAUGGUAGUUCAGCAACUUAAAACGUUAUUGCCGUCUGUUACCGCUCAUUUACAUUUACAUGCACACAAGUAUCGCUUGUUACACACAAAGACCUGUAUAAGAUCAUGAAUUAGCAAAAUAGAACGAUUUGGACAAACAUGAUUUCGGAUAAAAAAUAGAGUGGCAUAUCAACAAGUUUUAAAUACAUGAAAUGGAUGAAGUAACUACAUAUUUGUAUUUAAGGUAUUGGACCCGUAAUAGAGUAUCUCCUUUU